GGGCUCGUGGUCUAGUUGGUUAUGACGUCGCCUUCACACGGCGGAGGUCCGGAGUUCGAAUCUCCGCGGGCCCA
rnacentral:tRNA from 1 species